rnacentral:lncRNA from 10 species
GAGGGAUUAAACCUGCUAGUUUUGGAAAAAAAAAAAAAAAGGAAAGAAAAGAAAAGAAAGAAAGAAAAACAAAAAACAACAACAAACAGAAAAAUGCAAAACUGCAGAACACGCAGUGGAGGUUGGAUUCAGAGGACAUGGGGAUCAGUGUGGGCUGUGCUGGUCAAGGAGGGCUUCCAGGGAGAGGCAACUGAGGAUUCACUGCAAUUGUUCCUUGAGAAGAUGAGGAUCAGGUCGGGAAUUGGAAACAUCUGAGGGCUCAAUUCAACCUGGCUUCUAAAACGAACAUGGUGGGGAGGAAACAGGGUCCACCCGCUGCUGCACAAGAGGGGUGUGUGCAGACCGUCACCUUGUGUCUGCUGUAGCAGGAGACCCCUGGCCAUGCGGGACUGAACCCAUGAUUGCAGCUGAUCUUACUCUGUCUCUUCUCUGUGUGAGUAAAGUGUUGUUCCAUCUAGUGCCUGUGUGAG